rnacentral:rRNA from 1 species
AACGAACGCUGGCGGCAUGCCUAACACAUGCAAGUCGAACGAUUGCCUUCGGGUGAUAGUGGCGCACGGGUGCGUAACGCGUGGGAAUCUGCCCUUAGGUUCGGAAUAACAGCUGGAAACGGCUGCUAAUACCGGAUGAUAUCGCGAGAUCAAAGAUUUAUCGCCUGAGGAUGAGCCCGCGUUGGAUUAGGUAGUUGGUGGGGUAAAGGCCUACCAAGCCGACGAUCCAUAGCUGGUCUGAGAGGAUGAUCAGCCACAUUGGGACUGAGACACGGCCCAGACUCCUACGGGAGGCAGCAGUGGGGAAUAUUGGACAAUGGGCGCAAGCCUGAUCCAGCAAUGCCGCGUGAGUGAUGAAGGCCCUAGGGUUGUAAAGCUCUUUUACCCGGGAAGAUAAUGACUGUACCGGGAGAAUAAGCCCCGGCUAACUCCGUG